ensembl:rRNA 5S_rRNA 5S ribosomal RNA
GUCUACAGCCAUACCACCCCAAAUGCAUUGGAUCUUGUCUGAUCUUGGAAGCUAAGCAGGGUUGGCUUGUUGAGUCCUUAGAUGGGAGAAACAGACAGCACUCAUGAGCAUGCUAUUGAGU